rnacentral:lncRNA from 1 species
CCCACGCCAGGCCUUGGAGAGAAGGAAGGUGCAGCGCACCCAGAGCGUGCCGGCCCAGAGCAAAGCGGGGCGCCGGCUGCAGAAGCAGAGCAGCAUGGAGCAUGUGGUCGAGUCCCCGGGAGAGGACAGCAACAGUGGGAGUCCUCGCCCAUCCGCCUCCCGCCCACGGGACGGCCGAGCCCACCCGGGGCGAUCCAAUCUCCGCCAAUCCGCAUCGCUGCCCCGGAAAUCCACGGUGCCUUGGCAGCGCCAUGCUGAGGAGGCGGCCAAGGCACAGACAGAGCUGUACGCCAUACGGCCGCUGGAGAAGCAUGGAAAGCAGAUUGAGGAGCUGAGGAAGGAGCUGGUGGAGGCCAGGGAGAAGCAAAGGCUCUUUGAGAACCAGCUGGAAGUGCUGGUCACCCAGAACCAGGCGUUGCUGGAGGAGCAGGCCAAGCGCCAGGGGCAGGAGGAGAGACUCCAGAGACAGCUGGAAGAGCUGGAAACCCACCUGGCAAACCUCAGUGCCAGGGUGACGGCGGCAGAGGGCGGCCGGAGGAAGGAGCAGGAGAAGCUGAAGGCCAGCGAGGAGAGGGUGAAGCGUCUGGAGCGCCGCCUCUCGGCCCUGGAGAGAGAACAUGCUGAGCUGCUCUGCGCCAUCAGCCAGCGCCGGGGACACCAGGACAAGCCACCCAACUCACUGCUGAGGCCAGGGCCCCUGAUUGGGGCCGAGGACUGGCAGGAAGUAUAGCCAGCAGCCCGGGGCGCCCCGAUGACCUGCCCCAGCAACUGCCACUCGCUUUGGACGCCCUGAACAGCUUGGAGGACUGCAGCCCGGCCUUGUCUCUAGAAAUGUCACCCACCCAAGCCCCGCUGCCCUUUCCUGGUACGCAUCUAGCCCAGGAGGGUCCCAAGCCUGAUGUAGCUCCAGAAAAUAGAGCCCAAGGCAGCUGUGAGCUGCUGGUGCGAAUCUUUCGCAGGCACUCUCCGCUCCCCCACGGUGGUUGAGAGUGAACUGGUGUGUAACAGGCCCAUCCAGCCAUGCUCUCAGCCCCACUGGGGUUUCCCUCCUUAGCCCCGUGUCAAAGGGCACCAUCCCUCACGCUUCCUCCCAAACCUGCCCCUCACAGGCCUGAUGCAGCGUACCCGGGCUGCCUUUCCAGCCAUGGAUCAUUGCCCCAGCGUGCCCAGGCCUCCACAGGCUCUUGCAGGUGCGUAGCACCAGAGCCACUGUGGGGCUGAGGAAAAUGACCCCAGCCCCGAUCCAGACCUCAUCUGGGUCUUGGGGGGGUUCUGGGCUGUGCCGCCCCAGGCAGUGAGCUGCGUCUCCUGGUCUUUGCAUUGGCCACGACGGCCUGAAGAGCCGGAAAUUCAGCGGCUGCUUUGGCAAACCCUCCUGCAUUUCCACAGGCCCCUUGCAGCCCAGCAAUAAAC